UCCAACUUCUCUGUCACGUGAUCUCUACAGU
rnacentral:piRNA from 1 species